GUGACGCCAUCAUCCCCAUCCAUCAACAAACAAAACUGUAAAAAUGGAACAUUGUAUCUUUGCCCUAUGUUCAUUCCUUUUGGAACCGGUUUUGGAAAGGGAUUGUGAUACCAUGACCAGAAUGCAGGCAUUGCAGUCAUUACAUGGACAAGCUGUUUAUGAGCAGAACAGCCUAUAGCAGAAGGGGGUGUGUGAUGGGAGGGUGGCUAUUGAAAAAGUUCUGAAAACAAUUAUCAUCUUGUUGAAGAUACCCCUUGGUCAAUCAUCAACAGCUACAAAGAACAAAACAACUGUUAACAAAGUUAUCUAUGCUUUUGCAUGCUUUAAGGAUACAGUAAACUGUAAAUAUUUAUAGUGACUCAUAUGGACAUCCUGUAUGACAGGUUAUGUCAGGUGUGUAUUCCCUGUUUUAAAAAAAACUAUACUCACAUUUCUGUGUAUGUCUUGACCA